CAUUCCAGUUCCAAGUACAAUCUCUUCUUCCAAGUACAAUCUCUUCACCCCUGCUCAAUUCUCCUACUCUGAUAUAAUAUAAUCACUUAAUCCAAUGUUUUUCAAAGAGUGCACAUACAUCACUAACACCACCAUAUGUCAGCUUUCCAUAGGACUGAAUCUAAUGUAUCUCUAUGAGAAGUACUAACCCGCAUGUAGCGUCAUCAUGAUGUGCAUGAUGAUGC